AGUCGCCGAUUUGCCCACGCGUGGCGAGAGGCCAUGAAUAAUAGCAGAAACUAUCAGCCACCUUCUCAUACGAGUUUUGACGAUGCUAUGUCGACAGCCCUCAAGAACAUGAAAGAGAGAUGGAGAAAACUUUUAUUGAAGAUGAAUUACAGUGAGAGAAAUGUCCGGCAUCGCGGAAAAAUGCUGAAUUUUGAAACCGAUGAAGAGCUCUCCCCUCCUCGUCGCCGAAACCGUCUGGAUGAUGUCGACGUCAUCGACAACCGCCUCAGGCUUUCUACGAGUAUUCAAAGCAAUCACCAGGUUCAGCCAGGUGGGAUCAACGAAAAUGACGAAAACAGACAAGGGAACCUUCCAAAAUCAAGGGCGAAACUAUUAGGGAACAGCUCGGAUUUGGA